UUCCUUGAUUGAGUGGUUGCUGUUGGGAUUUGAAAUAAACAAAACUCCUAGAAAAUAGUAAAAUAACUUAAAAAAAUAUUGAAAGAGAAGUUCGCGAGUGCAAUAAAGUGUAAGGAAAUAAAGUUUUUAUUUGAGUAGAUGUGUAUUUUAAUAAAAUUUUAACGAUUAAAGUUUGUGUUGUGUUUUUGACGAAUAAAGAAAAAGACGCCGUUUCGCACCUAAACAUACAUUUGUCGCGGGAACAAUUUUGCUAAAUUUUGCUAAUUUGCAAAAUGUUGAUGUUGUGGAUUCGUUUGAAUGAAAGACGUGAAAGUGUUUUGAAAGGAGUUAAUAAAAUGAUGGCGUAGUUUCCCAUAAUGAGUUUUUUUUAGCAACGAAACUUCAAAAAUCUAAUUUUUACCCAACAUACCAAAAAUACAAUACAGCUUGAGAAUAAUAUUAUGAAAAUAGUUUAUCAUAAGAAUUUUUCAACAAUGCUUGAGAAACACUUUUUUGCACAAACUUUUCUCAAAUCUGUCCUUUGUUGACAAAUUUGUUUUGAUUUUUUUUGUGAAAAUUGUCAACAAAAAAUUAUAUUCUUUGGUUAAAAUCAAAAUCACGCGAAUUUAGGACCCAUUUCCGGACGAAACUCUAAGAAUGGAGGCGUCAAAAAGUUGCAGGAAUUCAACAGAAGUGAAGAAUAAGUGGAGGAGAUACAGAAGCUCAAAUAAGGGGAAAGAAAGCAUCUAGGUAUCAAGGCAACAGGAUGCAGUGACAGCUGGGAUGGCAAUCAAUGAAUGAAAUGUGUAAAAUAAAAUGUAAAAUGUAUGUUGGGUAAUGACUCAUUUUGUAUGUAUUUUCGAUACAAACAUUUGUUUAUUAAAAAUUUACUUGCCGCUUUGGAAAUUAUAUAAUAUUUAAUUCUCUUUUACUAAUAUGCGCACUUCUAUAUACAUAUUUGUGUAUGAACAAUUUUCAUUGAGUAGUUAUUCUUUUUUUUUUUUUU